rnacentral:rRNA from 1 species
UUUCAAGUCAGGAGUGAAAGGCUACGGCUCAACCGUAGUAAGCUCUUGAAACUGGGAGACUUGAGGGCAGGUGAGGAGAGUGGAAGUCCUAGUGUAGAGGUGAAAUGCGUAGAGAUUAGGAGGAACACGAGUUGUGAAGGCGGCUCACUGGACUGUAACUUACGCUGAGGCACGAAAGAGUGGGGAGCAAACAGGAUUAAAUACCCGGGUAGU